AUUGAACGCUGGCGGCAGGCCUAACACAUGCAAGUCGAGCGGGGUUUUCGGACCUAGCGGCGGACGGGUGAGUAAUGCGUAGGAAGCUGCCCGAUAGAGGGGGAUACCAGUUGGAAACGACUGUUAAUACCGCAUAAUGUCUACGGACCAAAGUGUGAGACCUUCGGGCCACAUGCUAUCGGAUGCGCCUACGUGGGAUU
rnacentral:rRNA from 1 species